rnacentral:rRNA from 1 species
AUUGAACGCUGGCGGCAGGCCUAACACAUGCAAGUCGAACGAGUGGCGGACGGGUGAGUAAUGUCUGGGAAACUGCCUGAUGGAGGGGGAUAACUACUGGAAACGGUAGCUAAUACCGCAUACCAUCGGAUGUGCCCAGAUGGGAUUAGCUAGUAGGUGGGGUAAAGGCUCACCUAGGCGACGAUCCCUAGCUGGUCUGAGAGGAGGACCAGCCACACUGGGACUGAGACACGGUCCAGACGCCUACGGGAGGCAGCAGUGGGGAAUAUUGCACAAUGGGCGAAAGCCUGAUUCAGCCAUGCCGCGUGUAUGAAGAAGGUCUUCGGGUUGUAAAGCACUUUAAGUUGGGAGGCGUUACCAACAGAAUAAGCACCGGCUAACUCCGUGCCAGCAGCCGCGGUAAUAC